UCUUAUCGAGGUAGCUGUUGACAGGGUCUGACAACCUUCUUUUUUAUUGUUGGGAUUGGUACUGUUGCUGCUGAGUGCAGACUCAGAUAAUGCGUUAGUGCUGGGCUGAGAUAAGGUCUUCUACCAACUUUGUAUGUUCAAGCACCUCAGCAUAGGAGCUGGUCCUCAGCAUCACUACUUGGUUAUAGAUAUCUGCUCGAAGGCC
rnacentral:lncRNA from 1 species